CUCUGGUUCCCAUGCCCGCGCGCUCUCGCUCUGGUUUCUGUGCCUUCACCCUUGCAUCCUCGCUGCCGUGUACAUCUCGCGCCCUCCCGGGUUUCCUGUGCCCUUGUGACCUCGCCGCCAUGUACAGCCCCUGCCGCCGCCUUCUUCCCUCGCAUCAUCGUGUUCCCAGCCAACAGAGGCUGAGAAAUUUGAGGUGUAGACCGGAUCUGUAGAGAGCAUUCAUCUUUCCCAGUUUACGCCAGGCAGGGUGCUUGAGUGGAAUUCGUUCAAUCUGGUGAGUAAAUUUUAUCCUUGUCUGCAUACGUGCUUAAUUUGGUUGUGUAUGCAGUGCAGGAUGUAGUCUAAUAUAACCCAGAUGAAGAUAAAUUUGUUCCUGUUUCAAUGGUGUUUGUCGUGCAAGAUAUUAACUGUAAUAUAACCAUUUCAUGGUGUCUGCAGUGCAACAUAAUAUUGGUUUUAUAUGUUUACUUACAAGUACAAUCAGAAACUUGGAAACUGUAACGGAGACGUUGUUUCAUGUGAACUUGGAACUUGUCAUGUUGUUCCAGUAAGUUUCUGUCUCCAAGAUUAAGGUUUCUUAUUUAUGCUAUAAAUUCAUACUGGGGAAUAGGGAUUGCCUGCAGAACUAGCUGUGAAGCAAAGAUGGUUCUAUUUAUAGCUAUCUUUACUAAUAGCUACUAAAUGUGGCCAUGCUUGUAAAACGCACGAUAUUUUCAGUUUGAGUUCCAAUAUUCAGUUCUGUUGCCAGAUUUCAGUUUGUUCAGAUUUUGCUUUAUCUGUUCCAGUAUUUAGUUUUGUUGCUUCGAAGGGAGAUGUCUACCAUUUGGAGAUCCUGCUCCAGUUUCUUUACUUGUUUAUUAAUCUGCAGAUUCCUGAGCGCCAUGUUUCUUUCUUUGUAUCUUUGUUUACUAAGCUAGGAGCUACAAGCCGACCGGGAAACUGCGGUAAGCCAGCAGGGAAAUUCUUCCUUAUGAGUUAGUAGGCUCAGCUGCAACUUUGUGGUUAAAACUCUGCAGGUCCCAUGCAUUUUUUUUUAUUAUGGAAACAAAAUGUUCCACCCUUUUGCAAUCUCUUACAUACGGCCUUACAAAUCGAAAAAAAACAAUCAUCCAUCGUAAACAUUCUUUGAAAUAAAACAUCAACAAAUCAAGCUCCUUUUAAUCUAGCAUUGGACCUCCAUCCAUGGCUUGCAAAGAUCUCCAUAGCCACCACCUCUAAGGAUCGACAUACAACAAGGAUCUCGUGUUGAGGUUGUUCUUUCUGCAACAAUCUCCAGAAUCUGAGCCAGUAUGUUGCCCUGAAAAGAACCUGCAUAAUUGAUGGUUUUGGUUUAAAAGUAAAAACAACAUUAUUGCGACAAAGCCAAAUAGGCCAAAACAUUGCCGCCACUCCAAUUAGAAGUUUUUUUCUAUGUGUUGUUCCCUUGUUAGCAAUCCAGGACCCAAUUAUAUGAUUAAUAUUGUUCGGUCUCUCUAUAUUUAAGGCAAAGUAAAUAAUUCUCCAAAUAUUUCUAGCAAGGUAACAAUCAAAAAACAGAUGUUGAAUAGACUCAUUUUGAUUACAAAAUCUGCAUUUUAAACAACCUUUCCAACCUCGCUUAGCUAAAUUGUCUUUGGUGAGAGUAACUCCCCUGCCUAAAUACCACAAGAAAAUCUUAAUUUUCAGAGGAAGAUUUAGACUCCAAAGUAUAUUGCGAUUUACAGGGGGAGAAUUCAUUAAAAGAAAGUACAUUGAGCGAACUGAGAAAAGUCCAUCUUUGUGAGCCCCCCAAAUGAAUUUGUCUCUCAGUUCUUCUAAAGAAACGGUUGCCAUCAAAUUUAAUAAAUUAUGCCACUCAACCUGCUUCACUCCGAUAAUAGAUCUACGAAAGGAUAGGUUGGGUAUAUUUCCAUUCAUAACAUCAUUGACUAAAACAUUCUUUUUACGCACAAUAUUAAAAAGGUUCGGACAAUGGUCCUUAAGUGGCCUAUCGAGGAUCCAUCUAUCCUCCCAGAACCUAGUCAUUUGACCGUCACCUACAUCGAACCUCCCCCUGCUCAAGAAACUUUCUUUAAUUUUCAUGAGUCCAGACCAGAAAUGCGAGUCUCCAGAUUUUCUCACUAUUUGAGUAAGUGAUUUGGAUCCGAAGUAUUUAUUUUUCAAAAUUUCCUGCCAUUUACCGUUCUCAUUUAGUAACUUAAAGAGCCAUUUGCUAAGUAAACAAACAUUCUUAAUGGCAAGGUUGGCAACCCCCAAACCACCGAUCUCUUUAGGUUGACAAAUAGUCUUCCACUUUGUUAGUCUAUAUUUCUUUUUCGAAUGUCCGCCUUGCCAAUAGAAGCGAGAACGAAUGGCAUCUAAUUUUUGUAACACCCCCGCCGGCACCUCAAAAAAGGACAUCAUGAAAAUGGGUAGGCUGCUCAAAAAUGAAUUAAUUAGCACAAGACAUCCACCAGAAGAAAGUAAUUUACUUUUCCAGGAACUUAAUCUUUUUUUGAAUCUAUCAAUAACACUCUGCCAUUCACUAUUUCGUAACCUACGAUGGGUCAUAGGAAUCCCGAGAUAUUUGAAAGGUAAUGAACCAAUCCCGCAACCAAAAAGAUGAGAGUAAUUUAGAUCAUACUCCUUAGCUAAACCAUAGCAAAAAAGCUCGCUUUUGUGAAAGUUGAUUUUUAAACCCGACAUUUGUUCGAAAGCGGUCAGGAGUAAUUUCACGUUACGCGCAUGUUCCAAGUUACGAUCCAUAAAAACAACAGUAUCGUCCGCAUAUUGAAGGAUAGAAAGUCCCCCUUCCAUUAGGUGAGGAACCACUCCCGCGAAUUGGUUAUCUUCCUUCGCUCUUGAAAAGAGUAUCGCCAACAUAUCCACAACUAUAUUAAAGAGAAUAGGAGAAAGGGGAUCACCUUGUCGAAGGCCCUUAUGUGUAGUAAAGAAAGGCCCAACUUCAUCAUUAAUUUUAAUCCCGACAUGCCCCCCCAGAAACAAUAGAUUGAAUCCAAGCACACCAUUUCGGUGAGAAACCUUUCAUUCGCAAAGCCUGUUGUAGGAACGACCAAUUUACUUUAUCAUAGGCUUUUUCAAAGUCAAGUUUUAGAAUUAGGCCACUCAAUUUUUUCCUUUGCAUCUCAUGGAUAGUCUCAUGAAGCACGAUUACACCUUCAAGGAUAUUGCGACCAGGCAUGAAUGCGGUCUGCGAGGGAUUAAUAAGCUUAUCUGCAACCACCCCUAUUUUGUUUGUUAGGACUUUAGUAAUAAUCUUAAAACUGUUGGGUCUAUGCUUCGGCGCCGAAGGUCUUCAAGUGAGAAGCGGCUUAAAAAGAGUGAGCAGGUAUCUUCGGACUCGUAUCAGAAAGGGAAAAGCUACAAAGGUUGACACAGCGCCGAAGCUGUGAAGCAGGAAAGCUUCGGCAUGUUCGCAGAAAAGGGAACCGACUUAAAGAUGAAAAGGCCAUUUAGACCUCGAUAGAGUGCUAUAGAAUUAUCACCAAAUGUAAAGGGCAUGUAUGUAAUUUUGUAUGGGUUGUACCCCGUGCCUAUAAAUAGGUGAACAGUACCCCCGUACUGUUCACGUGGACUUGGCGUUUGCUUUUGCGUCACACUUGUAUUUUCAUCUCCUUCCAAGCCGAAGGUACAUUUAUAAUUCGAUAUUGUUUUU
rnacentral:lncRNA from 1 species